GGUAAUAUCGGCUUGAAAAGCACAACCCUGUCUUUCGCAAGAACAAGUCCAAACAGUCACCGCUUCUGCUUCCUCUUACAAUCCCCCCCCAUCCCCCUCUCUCUGCAAUUUUUUUUAUUUUAUUUCCUUACUUAUUCGGAUCCAUUUCGUCAAAAUAGAUCUGAUCUGCAUUUCUAAAGAUGGUUGACAGAGUGUGAUGAUGGUGCAGUCACCAAAUGGGCAUGGCAGGGACUGGAAAAGCUAACUCUCAUUGAUGCUAACCUCUAUCCAAAAUGGAAAAUGGGAAAAAUAUGAAUACCACCGGAACACAAGAUAGCUUUAUGAUGAAGCCCCAUGACCAAAGACAGCGCACUAGAGGCCACCUUGAUGUUAUCACUCGUCGCCUGAAGAACCGAGAACGGCAACGUAGGUAUAGGGCUCGGAAGCGGCUUGAAGCAGAAAGUAAGAAGUCUUGUGUUAUAAAUCAGUCAGCUCCACCACAAGUAGAUUUACAACAAAACAAGACCCAUAGCCCUUGUAUGACCCGCGUGCAUUGUAAACGAGAUUGGAAAAAGGACGCAAGAAGGGCUCAUACAUCUAAGGAUAAAGAUGUCAUACCUAAUGGCACUGUUAAAUUAACUAGUGAAAAUCAGACGCCAAGCUUGCCAUCUGGAAUCAAGGCAGAACCAUCAUUUGAAAGGGUUCAUUCUGAGAUUUCCCAUAGCCUGGUCAAUUCUGAAAUGCAUAGAACUAUCUGUGGUCGAAGAGAUUGGAAAGGAGAUGCAAGAAAGAAAAAAUGCUAGAGUGGUUACCAACCUGUAGGGUGCAACAUCAUACAAUUAGAGUAUCAGAUAACUCCUUAUUGUGAUGUUUCAGACAGUUCUGAAGUUUUAGUGGCACAAAAAACUUGUGAUGUUAUUAUGCUAGCUGAAGAAGUUGUUUGUGGGAAAAGUUUUUGUUCUCAGUUUUUUCACUUUUUCAAAACGUUUGAUGUUGCAGGUGAAGGGCAUUCAGAAUAUGCCAAGGAAAGUUACCAUUAGGUUACUGCCAGGUUCUGAAGGUGGGAGAAUCCCGCUUUAGUUUGAAAGGCUGGUAUCAUAUGGUCAAGAAUGAUCAGAAUGUAUGACGUAAUUCAUGUAAGAUCAAUAAACAUGAAUCGUGAAUAUAU